AGAGUUUGAUCCUGGCUCAGAACGAACGCUGGCGGCAGGCUUAACACAUGCAAGUCGAACGGGCCCUUCGGGGUCAGUGGCAGACGGGUGAGUAACGCGUGGGAACGUGCCCUUCAGUUCGGGAUAACCCAGGGAAACUUGGGCUAAUACCGGAUACGUGCGAGAGCAGAAAGAUUCAUCGCUGAAGGAUCGGCCCGCGUCUGAUUAGCUAGUUGGUAGGGUAAUGGCCUACCAAGGCGACGAUCAGUAGCUGGUCUGAGAGGAUGAUCAGCCACAUUGGGACUGAGACACGGCCCAAACUCCUACGGGAGGCAGCAGUGGGGAAUAUUGGACAAUGGGCGCAAGCCUGAUCCAGCCAUGCCGCGUGAGUGAUGAAGGCCUUAGGGUUGUAAAGCUCUUUCGUCCGGGACGAUAAUGACGGUACCGGAAGAAGAAGCCCCGGCUAACUUCGUGCCAGCAGCCGCGGUAAUACGAAGGGGGCUAGCGUUGUUCGGAAUCACUGGGCGUAAAGGGCGCGUAGGCGGCCUGAUAAGUCGGGGGUGAAAGCCUGUGGCUCAACCACAGAAUUGCCUUCGAUACUGUCGGGCUUGAGACCGGAAGAGGUAAGUGGAACUGCGAGUGUAGAGGUGAAAUUCGUAGAUAUUCGCAAGAACACCAGUGGCGAAGGCGGCUUACUGGUCCGGUUCUGACGCUGAGGCGCGAAAGCGUGGGGAGCAAACAGGAUUAGAUACCCCCGUAGUCC
rnacentral:rRNA from 2 species